rnacentral:rRNA from 1 species
GUAGAGAUUCCUGUACCAGUGCUAAUUGUUUAACCGAUGGGGUGACACAGAAGGAUAGGGAAUCGCACGAAUGGAAAUGUGCGUCCAAGCAGUGAGUGUGAGAAGUAGGCAAAUCCGCUUCUCGCGAAGCAUGAGCUGUGAUGGGGAAGGAAAUUAAGUACGGAAGUUCCUGAUUUCACGCUGUCAAGAAAGCCUCUAGGAAGAGUAGUACUGCCCGUACCGCAAACCGACACUGGUAGAUCAGGAGAGAUUCCUAAGGUGAGCGAGAGAACUCUCGUUAAGGAACUCGGCAAAAUGACCCCGUAACUUCGGGAGAAGGUGUGCUCUAUUAGGGUGCAAGCCCGAGCGAGCCGCAGUGAAUAGGCCCAGGCGACUGUUUAGCAAAAACACAGGUCUCUGCAAAACCGUAAGGUGACGUAUAAGGGCUGACGCCUGCCAGGUGCUGGAAGGUUAAGAGGCGAGCUUAGCUUCGCCGAAGGCACGAAUUGAAUCCCCAGUAAACGGCGGCCGCAACUAUAACGGUCCUAACGUAGCGAAAUUCCUUGUCGGGGAAAUUCCAACCCGCACGAAAGGCGCAACGAUCUGGGCACUGUCUCAACGAGAGACUCGGUGAAAUUAUAGUACCUGUGAAGAUGCAGGUUACCCGCGACAGGACGGAAAGACCCCGUGGAGCUUUACUGCAACCUGAUAUGGAAUGUUUGUACCGCUUGUACRGGAUAGGUAGGAGCCGAAGAGACGUGUGCGCUAGCAUACGAGGAGGCAAUGGKGGGAUACUACCCUGGCUGUAUGACCAUUCUAACCCGCCACGCUUAGCGCGUGGGGAGACAGUGUCAGGUGGGCAGUUUGACUGGGGCGGUCGCCUCCUAAAGAGUAACGGAGGCGCCCAAAGGUUCCCUCAGAAUGGAUGGAAAUCAUUCGCAGAGUGUAAAGGCACAAGGGAGCUUGACUGCGAGACUGACAAGUCGAGCAGGGACGAAAGUCGGGCUUAGUGAUCCGGUGGUUCCGCAURGAAGGGCCAUCGCUCAACGGAUAAAAGCUACCCCGGGGAUAACAGGCGUAUCUCCCCCAAGAUUCCGCAUCGACGGGGAGGUUUGGCCCCUCGAUGGCGGCUCGUCGCUUCCUGGGGCUGUAGUCGGUCCCAAGGGUUGGGCUGUUCGCCCCUUAAAGCGGCAC